UACGUAGGGUGCAAGCGUUGUCCGGAAUCAUUGGGCGUAAAGCGCGCGUAGGUGGCCAUUUAAGUCCGCUGUGAAAAGUCAAAGGCUCAACCUUUGAAAGCCGGUGGAUACUGGAUGGCUAGAGUACGGAAGAGGCGAGUGGAAUUCCUGGUGUAGCGGUGGAAUGCGCAGAUAUCAGGAGGAACACCAAUAGCGAAGGCAGCUCGCUGGGACGUACUGACACUGAGGCGCGAAAGCGUGGGGAGCGAACAGG
rnacentral:rRNA from 1 species